CGAUUUAAUUUCAUUUCAUUUUCGCCUUCCAUUUUCGUUUCACUUUUGCCGCCUUUUAACUUGCCUUCCCUCGUCGAUCUGUGCUACAAGUCACCGGUGAGCGCACACUGCUCAAACUGCGCACCACCCCCUACCCCCGUCUCUCUCUGUGCGACUGUGGAGCAGACAAAUUCUGGAGCAGACAAACUGAAUUGGCAACUUCAACCGAGGUUGCUGAUCUGGUGGUUUCAAUAUGUACAUAAAGCAGGUUAUUAUUGAAGGAUUUAAGAGCUACAGAGAACAAGUUGCUACUGAGGCCUUCAGCCCGAAAGUUAAUUGUGUUGUUGGUGCCAAUGGGUCUGGAAAGACGAACUUCUUCCAUGCGAUCCGGUUUGUACUAAGUGACCUUUUCCAAAACCUUCGGAGCGAGGAUAGGCAUGCUCUACUCCAUGAAGGUGCAGGGCACCAAGUAUUAUCUGCGUUCGUGGAGAUUGUCUUUGAUAAUGCUGACAAUCGAAUCCCGGUUGAUAAGGAGGAAGUGCGCUUGCGAAGAACCAUUGGUUUGAAGAAGGAUGAGUAUUUCUUGGAUGGAAAGCAUAUCACGAAAACGGAAGUUAUGAAUUUACUGGAAAGUGCUGGGUUCUCUCGCUCCAAUCCUUAUUAUGUUGUGCAGCAAGGAAAGAUAGCAUCCUUGACACUGAUGAAAGACUCUGAACGGCUGGAUUUACUGAAAGAAAUUGGUGGUACUCGAGUGUAUGAGGAGAGGCGUCGAGAAAGUUUGAAAAUUAUGCAGGAAACUGGAAACAAAAUAAAACAGAUAGUUCAAGUUGUUCAGUACUUGGAUGAGAGAUUAAAGGAGUUGGAUGAAGAGAAAGAGGAACUAAGACAGUAUCAACAAUUUGACAAGCAGCGGAAAUCUUUGGAAUACACUAUUUAUGACAAGGAACUUCAGGAUGCUCGCCAAAAGUUGGCAGAGGUAGAAGAUGCUAGAAAUAAGGUUUCUGAAACUUCAACAAAGAUGUAUAAUACAGUGCUGGAUGCCCAUGAAAAGUCUAAGGACCUGGACAAGAUUUUGAAGGAUCUGACGAAAGAGCUUCAAGCUUUAAAUAAGGAUAAAGAAACAAUAGAAAUGCGAAGAACAGAAGCAAUAAAGAAGCGGACAGAGCUUCAGCUUGAUGUCAACGAUUUGGAGGAGAAGAAAACUGGAAAUACCCGGGUCAAAGAAGAUGCUAUGAAACAGCUGCAGAGUCUGCAGAAAGAAAUUAAGGAUUCAGAGGAAGAACUUAAGAAAAUAAAUCCUCUGUAUGAUAAUCAAGUCAAGAUGGAAAUGGAGAUAACAAAAGGAAUAAUGGAACGCGAGAAGCAGCUUAGUAUACUGUACCAAAAACAAGGUCGUGCCACCCAGUUUUCAAGUAAAGCUGCUCGUGACAAAUGGCUCCAAAAGGAAAUUGAUGACCUUGAACGAGUUCUUUCUUCAAAUUUGGCACAGGAGCAAAAACUUAAAGAUGAAAUUGCACGGCUUGAUGCUGAGUUGAGUGACAGGGAUGUCUACAUUGAGUCUCGAAGAACUGAGAUUGCUACUAUUGAAUCUCUCAUCUCUCAGUCACAUGAUGGGUUCAGUCAUCACAAGACACAGAGGGACAAGAUGCAGGAUGAGCGCAAGUCCCUGUGGAGGAAAGAAACUGAACUUUCUGCUGAAAUUGAGAAGCUGAGAACAGAAGUUGAAAAGGCUGAAAAGAGCCUUGAUCAUGCAACUCCGGGUGAUGUGAGGAGAGGGCUAAAUUCUGUUCGUAAGAUCUGCAGAGAGUAUAAUAUUCAUGGGGUAUUUGGUCCAAUCAUUGAGUUGCUUGAUUGUGACGAAAAGUUUUUUACAGCUGUUGAAGUAACUGCUGGGAACAGCUUGUUUCACGUUGUGGUUGAAAAUGACGAAAUAUCAACCCAGAUAAUUAGGCACCUUAAUUCAUUGAAAGGUGGACGAGUUACAUUUAUUCCCCUCAAUAGGGUGAAGGCUCCACGGGUAACUUAUCCACAGAAUUCAGAUGUGGUUCCUCUGUUGAAGAAAUUAAAAUUUGCUCCGAACUACACCCCGGCAUUUUCCCAGGUAUUUGCAAGAACGGUUGUUUGUCGAGAUAUGGAUGUGGCUACAAGGGUUGCUCGUAAUGAUGGUCUAGACUGCAUUACUUUGGAAGGUGACCAAGUCAGCAAGAAGGGUGGCAUGACGGGAGGAUUUUAUGACCAUAGACGGUCAAAAUUAAAGUUUAUGCAUAUAAUCAUGCAGAAUACAAAAUCUAUCAACAUGAAGGAAGAAGAGCUGGAGAAAGUAAAGAAAAUGCUUGAAGAGAUAGACAAAAAAAUUACAGAACUUGUAACUGAACAGCAGAAAAUUGAUGCCAAGCGGGCCCAUGAGAAAUCAGAAAUGGAACAACUUAAGCAGGACAUUGCUAAUGCUAAUAAGCAGAAGAAUCUGAUUUCCAAAGCUUGUGGGAAUAAGAAAAAAUCACUGGCGGAUGUGGAGACUCAAAUUACUCAGCUUAGAGCCAGUGUGGCCAUGAAGAGAGCUGAAAUGGGCACAGAUCUCCUUGAUCAUUUAUCUCCAGAGGAGAAGGAUCUUCUCUCAAGAUUAAACCCUGAAAUAGCGGAUCUUAAAGAGAAGCUUGUUUCAUGCAAGACGGAUCGUUUUGAGACUGAAACAAUAAAGGCAGAGCUGGAGACUAAUUUAACCACAAACCUUGAGAGGCGGAGGCAAGAACUAGAGGCCAUAAUAUCUUCUGUGGAGACUGACAAUUAUAACGGUGAAGCUGAAAUUAAGACUCAGGAACUUAAUGAUGCUGAAUUAUUGGUUAAAGAUGCAACAGAGCAGCUCAAAAGAGUUUCUGAAACUAUAGAUAGCAAGUCAAAGCAUCUCAAGAGAAUUAAAGAUGAAAAGACUGCGUUAAAGACUUUGGAAGACAAGUAUGAGAGGACACUUCAGGAUGAAGCCAAAGAGCUAGAGCAACUGUUGAGUAAAAGAAAUAUGUUUCUUGCAAAACAAGAAGAAUACUCAAAGAAAAUCAGGGAAUUAGGUCCAUUGUCAUCGGAUGCUUUUGAAGCGUAUAAGCGCAGGGGCAUCAAAGAGUUGCAUAAAGCGCUGCAUAGAUGCAAUGAACAACUGCAACAGUUUAGUCAUGUCAACAAGAAAGCACUUGAUCAAUAUGUAAAUUUUACAGAGCAACGAGAAGAGCUCCAGAAGAGGCAAGCUGAGCUGAAAGCGGGUGAUCAGAAAAUUGAUGAACUUAUAAAGGUUUUGGAUCAAAGGAAAGAUGAAUCAAUAGAACGUACUUUUAAAGGAGUUGCUAGGCACUUCCGAGAAGUUUUCUCAGAACUUGUGCAAGGUGGCCAUGGGCACCUUGUUAUGAUGAAGAAAAAGGAUGGUCAGCAUGGUGAUGAUGAACAGGAUGAGGAUGGGCCACGUGAAGUGGAUUUGGAGGGAAGAGUGGAAAAAUAUAUUGGUGUAAAAGUGAAGGUUUCUUUCACUGGACAAGGGGAGACUCAGUCCAUGAAGCAGUUGUCUGGGGGUCAGAAAACUGUUGUUGCGCUGACACUUAUUUUUGCCAUCCAGCGAUGUGAUCCUGCCCCAUUUUAUCUUUUUGAUGAAAUAGAUGCAGCACUGGAUCCUCAGUACAGAACUGCUGUUGGAAAUAUGAUCCGACGCCUGGCAGACAUAGCAAACACUCAAUUUAUAACCACAACAUUCCGGCCAGAGCUUGUGAAAGUUUCUGACAAGAUAUAUGCUGUUGAACAUAAAAACAGGGUGAGCCGUGUCAGCGUUGCAUCGAAGGACGAUGCAUUGGACUUCAUAGAGCGUGACCAGUCUCACAAUGCGGAGUAAAGCGUGUAUCAAGAACAGGAAAGACGGCUAGAGCAAUCUGUUUUUCGGUAAAUUCACACUGAGAGGAGUGAGAUGUUGUACGAAGUAGGUUUGCUGGUGUUGGCUCGAUUCUAGAUAUGCUGAAGAACCAUUAGCUUUAUCCAUUGACAAUUUCCUGUAUAAGCGAGCGUUGGUAAUUGCUUGGUAUACACUUCAGUUCCGGCGGCCAUGCUGCCACGAGAGCAUCAACCGACGAAAUUAAUUGCUCUACCACAAAAGGGUGCCCAGGGAUAACGAUAACAACACACUUGACCACGCCACAGAUGUUGAUGAGGGAGAUUAACCUUGGAGCGGCCAUCGGACACCAUGCUAGUUUGUGAGAAUUUCUUAAUGACUUGAUUCUUCUUAUUGAGGAAUAUAUAAUUAGGAAUUUAGCAACCCAAUGCCUCAUUUAACGGGGACGAUUUAUAUGAAAUAGGUGUCACGUGACGUCUCCAACCAAUAAUGAAUGUCAUGUGUAAGGUUUUUCUUGACAUUGCAUUGCAUUAUUGGAUUGAAAAGUCACAGUGACGGUGAACCCGUUCUAUGUAAGUUGCUCUUCUUAUUUAACAAUUACUUACAAGUUUGCCGAAGUUGAGUUAGUGGCGUUAAUAGGUUGAGUUGUAAGUCCAAAGCCAAAGGGAAAGAGCAACAUUCAUAGGGAGCUGAUCUACCCUUUUGAACCAUGUCCUAGCAAGCUUUCCAGUGAAUCCAGAGUCACCAUACAGGACAUCAGCAAUUCCUUGCCCUUCCGUCCCGGGCAGCCAUGAAGCCACGGGAGCAUCGAUCGACGAUACGUAGGGCUCCAUCACUAUCGGCGCAAACUUUGAGCAAUGGGUCUAAGCAGUGCAUGUGCAUGUGCAUUGGGGUAUAUUAUCUAAAGCUAAAUUAGUCUUGCAGUUGGAAGGAAAUCUUAGCAAAUUAAAUGGUUUUUCUGAGAUGAAAGAAAUUGAAAUAAA